rnacentral:rRNA from 1 species
ACGGGUGAGUAACGCGUAUGCAACCUACCUUUUACCGGGGGAUAGCUCAGUGAAAACUGGAUUAAUACCCCAUAACACAGGGAUACCGCAUGGUAAUAUUUGUUAAAGCUCCGGCGGUAAAAGAUGGGCAUGCGUGACAUUAGCUAGUUGGUAGGGUAACGGCCUACCAAGGCGACGAUGUCUAAGGGGUCUGAGAGGAUGAUCCCUCACACUGGUACUGAGACACGGACCAGACUCCUACGGGAGGCAGCAGUGAGGAAUAUUGGUCAAUGGGGGCAACCCUGAACCAGCCAUGCCGCGUGAAGGAAGACGGUUCUAAGAAUUGUAAACUUCUUUUGUACGGGGGUAAAGACAGAUACGUGUAUCUGUUUGAAAGUACUGUACGAAUAAGCAUCGGCUAACUCCGUGCCAGCAGCCGCGGUAAUACGGAGGAUGCGAGCGUUAUCCGGAUUUAUUGGGUUUAAAGGGUGCGUAGGCGGAUUUAUAAGUCAGCGGUGAAAGACUGUCGCUCAACGAUAGCAUUGCCAUUGAUACUGUAGAUCUUGAGUACAUUUGAGGUAGGCGGAAUGUGUAGUGUAGCGGU